GUGGGAGGGGGCUUGCCCCCGAUGACGGAGUGUCAGUCGACAUCUAUGUGACUGAUCCACCGCUAUCGGGGGCAAGCCCCCUCCCAC
rnacentral:misc_RNA from 2 species